AAAAUUACCAACCCUAGAUGCCAUUUUUGGCAGAUAAUUGAGACCAAUGCAGCAUGGAGGAGAGUAGUGGCAAAACAAUCAUUAAAUAAUCGAAGAACAAAGAUAGAGUGAACUCUUUUCGACAGAGAAAGCAAGGAGAGAGCCCACCAAGGUACCACAUCAGUCUUCAAGUAGAUGAACAAGACAAUUGCAAGAUCCAGCACGUAGAGAAAGCCAAAAAGAAUCUGAGCAGGAUAGACUUGACCUCCAGUAACAUAUUGUAUAGCAGAGUAAAUAUAAAGAAAGCCUGCUGGGUAAACUAGAGGCCCCG
rnacentral:misc_RNA from 1 species